rnacentral:rRNA from 1 species
AAAUUGAAGAGUUUGAUCAUGGCUCAGAUUGAACGCUGGCGGCAGGCCUAACACAUGCAAGUCGAACGGUAACAGGAAGCAGCUUGCUGCUUCGCUGACGAGUGGCGGACGGGUGAGUAAUGUCUGGGAAACUGCCUGAUGGAGGGGGAUAACUACUGGAAACGGUAGCUAAUACCGCAUAAUGUCGCAAGACCAAAGAGGGGGACCUUCGUGCCUCUUGCCAUCGGAUGUGCCCAGAUGGGAUUAGCUUGUUGGUGGGGUAACGGCUCACC